UGGGGAAUUUUGCACAAUGGGGGAAACCCUGAUGCAGCGACGCCGCGUGAUUUAGAAGGCCUUCGGGUUGUAAAAAUCUUUUCUAUGGGAAGAAAAUGACAGUACCAUAGGAAUAAGGACCGGCUAAUUACGUGCCAGCAGCCGCGGUAAUACGUAAGGUCCGAGCGUUGUCCGGAAUCAUUGGGCGUAAAGGGUACGUAGGCGGGUAAGCAAGUUAGAAGUGAAAUCCUAUAGCUCAACUAUAGUAAGCUUUUUAAACUGCUCAUCUUGAGGUAUGGAAGGGAAAGUGGAAUUCCUAGUGUAGCGGUGAAAUGCGCAGAUAUUAGGAGGAAUACCGGUGGCGAAGGCGACUUUCUGGCCAUAACCUGACGCUGAGGUACGAAAGCGUGGGUAGCAAACAGG
rnacentral:rRNA from 2 species